UACGUAGGGUGCAAGCGUUAAUCGGAAUUACUGGGCGUAAAGCGUGCGCAGGCGGUUGGUUAAGACAGAUGUGAAAUCCCCGGGCUCAACCUGGGAACUGCAUUUGUGACUGGCCAGCUAGAGUAUGGCAGAGGGGGGUGGAAUUCCACGUGUAGCAGUGAAAUGCGUAGAGAUGUGGAGGAACACCGAUGGCGAAGGCAGCCCCCUGGGCCAAUACUGACGCUCAUGCACGAAAGCGUAGGGAGCAAACAGG
rnacentral:rRNA from 1 species